rnacentral:rRNA from 1 species
CGUGUAGGCGGACUCGCAAGUCGGUUGUGAAAUCCCUGGGCUCAACCUAGGAGCUGCAUCCGAAACUGCUUGUCUUGAGUAAUGGAGAGGGUGGCGGAAUUCCCGGUGUAGAGGUGAAAUUCGUAGAUAUCGGGAGGAACAUCAGUGGCGAAGGCGGCCACCUGGACAUUUACUGACGCUGAGACGCGAAAGCGUGGGGAGCAAACA